CGCGUGCGCGCGUUCGCUCGCUCCGCUGCCGGAUUCUCGGCGUGGAGGCGGGAGACGAGGAGAGGGACUCAUCAAGCUGUGGUGUUUGUGUUGGCCAGUUCUGAGAUCUUGAAGCUCUGCCCAGAGGAGGAAUACAGCAGCCGUCUCUGCCAAUGGACCGUUUGGGUUCCUUUAGCAAUGAUCCCUCUGAUAAGCCACCUUGUCGAGGCUGCUCCUCCUAUCUGAUGGAACCUUACAUCAAGUGUGCUGAAUGUGGGCCACCUCCUUUUUUCCUCUGCUUGCAGUGUUUCACUCGAGGAUUUGAAUACAAGAAACACCAAAGUGAUCAUACUUAUGAAAUAAUGACUUCAGACUUUCCUGUUCUUGAUCCCAGCUGGACUGCUCAAGAAGAAAUGGCCCUUUUAGAAGCUGUGAUGGACUGUGGCUUUGGAAAUUGGCAGGAUGUUGCCAAUCAGAUGUGCACCAAGACCAAGGAAGAGUGUGAGAAGCACUAUAUGAAGCAUUUCAUCAAUAACCCUCUGUUUGCAUCUACCCUGCUAAACUUGAAACAGGCAGAAGAGGCAAAAACUGCAGACACAGCCAUUCCGUUUCAUUCUGCAGACGACCCUCCUCGGCCCACCUUUGACUCGUUGCUUUCUCGGGACAUGGCAGGAUACAUGCCAGCGCGAGCAGAUUUCAUUGAGGAAUUCGACAAUUAUGCAGAAUGGGACUUGAGAGACAUUGAUUUUGUUGAAGAUGACUCGGACAUUUUACAUGCACUGAAGAUGGCUGUGGUAGAUAUCUAUCAUUCCAGAUUAAAGGAGAGACAAAGACGAAAAAAAAUUAUACGAGAUCAUGGAUUAAUCAACCUCAGGAAGUUUCAGUUGAUGGAACGGCGGUACCCCAAGGAGGUUCAAGACCUUUAUGAAACAAUGAGGCGAUUUGCAAGGAUUGUGGGACCAGUAGAACAUGACAAGUUCAUUGAAAGUCAUGCACUGGAAUUUGAGCUUCGAAGGGAAAUCAAGAGACUCCAGGAAUAUAGGACAGCAGGCAUCACCAAUUUUUGUAGUGCCAGAACCUAUGAUCACUUGAAGAAGACGAGAGAGGAGGAGCGCCUUAAACGCACGAUGCUCUCUGAGGUUCUCCAGUACAUCCAGGACAGCGGGGCGUGCCAGCAGUGGCUCCGCCGGCAGGCUGACAUUGAUUCUGGCCUGAGUCCGUCUGUUCCGAUGGCUUCAAAUUCAGGUAGACGGAGUGCACCACCGUUGAACCUCACUGGCCUCCCUGGCACAGAGAAGCUAAAUGAAAAAGAAAAAGAGCUCUGUCAGAUGGUGAGGUUGGUCCCUGGAGCCUAUUUAGAGUACAAAUCUGCACUCUUGAAUGAAUGUAACAAGCAAGGAGGCUUAAGGCUGGCCCAGGCAAGAGCACUCAUCAAGAUAGACGUGAACAAAACCCGGAAAAUCUAUGAUUUCCUCAUCCGAGAAGGACACAUCACUAAAGCCUGAGGCUCUGAUGGGCUGGGGUCAGAAAUCACACAUUUGGAAUGUGGUUCACAAGACGGUGCGGGCCCCGAGUUCUCCAUGUGAAAAGCGGCGGAGGGACAAGGAACCCUGAAGACAUGUUAAUACCCACUACCUUCUCCACCCCGCUUUGAAACACUCCUGAUGUCGGUGUUGUGCUGCAUAUGCUAUUAUUAAAUAUGCAGAUGAUGCAACUAAUCUCGGCUUUGCUUGGACUGAGGUUGGACCCUGGCUUCUCAAGGGUGGAAAGCCGGCCUGCAAUAAAAGCUGUUUUAAAACAAGCGUAAAGCAGCUUCGUAUGCGAGGCUCAUUAGAUACAAGGGUGAGUAGUCCCACCACAUCUGAAAUUUGAUCCUCAAGCCUUUCUGCAGAAGCAGCAGCCAAACUCAGAGUCAUGGUUAUCUCAUUUCCAUCAGAAGCAGAGUUGUGUAUAGAAUCUGCGCCACUUGUGCCCGAUAGCUGUUCCUCCAACAGGGAGACAUCUAUUAAAACAGUGUGUACUUUGUGGAAAGCACCUGCUCACAUGUUUCCUGAGGUAAAUGAUUGUGCAGCUGGCUAAUAGACCUCAUCUUGAGGAAGAGAAAAAGGACACUCUUAGGAUCUGAGGGAAUUCAGAUGGGGGACUUCGAGUUUAACUAUGGCUUGUGGAAAUAGGCUCUUUUCUUUCCAUAGUCAUCUCUCUUAAGAUAUUCCACCACUGCUGUCAACCUAUUUGGCUAUGAAGGGAUUACCCGUUUUUGAUGGAAGGUGAUUCCUAUUCUGAUAAUUUUCAUUGCAUUAGAUGUCAGUGUCAUGCGAUGUCUGUUGUAGAUUGAGGAGUCCUUCAAUAAGGAGGGCUUUUUUGGAGAGGUGGGCUUUUGAGGCAGUAAAAAAAAAUGAGGGGGAGAAACAAAUGGCAGAUGGAAUGGGAGACUGUUCCAGACAUAGGGGGUGGGAGACAAGUGGAGGCAGGAAUGGGAGUAAGGAAAUUGUGCCAAGAGGUUGAUUUGGCUGGAACACACAGGGGGCAGCUGUGGUAGCUGAAUGGGAGGACUGUCUAAUGGAAACCUUGCACUUGAAAAAGUUGCGGGGAAUCAUUUGAUAAUGAAAAUGACAUAGUAGAAGGUAGUAAGAAAAUAACUUACUGACUUAUUCCAAAUGACUAGAUUUCAAACAGUAGGAAUUCAACUUUGUAAAAAUGUAAAAACUUAAUUGGUUUCCCCAAAACCAAGCUGUAUUUUGGAUAAAGAACAUUGUUCAGUGUCACUGAUCUUACAGCGAUAGACUUGGUGCACAGAGCUGAUAAUAACACGUGUGGACUCUGAUGGUCAAAAGUCAAA